rnacentral:rRNA from 1 species
ACACGCAUGACACACUGCAUAUCAAUAAGCGGAGGAAAAGAAACUAACUAAGGAUUCCCUUAGUAACGGCGAGUGAAGCGGGAAGAGCUCAAAUUUGAAAUCUUCAAGGUUCUACCUUGACGAAUUGUAGUUUAAAGAAGUGUUUUCUGUUGAAGUUUUGGUAAAAGUUCUUUGGAAUAGGACAUCAUAGAGGGUGAGAAUCCCGUAUUUGACCAUUAUUUUCAGCUGUGUGAUACACUUUCAAAGAGUCGGAUUGUUUGGGAAUGCAGUCCAAAAUGGGUGGUAAAUUUCAUCUAAAGCUAAAUAUUGGCGAGAGACCGAUAGCGAACAAGUACCGUGAGGGAAAGAUGAAAAGAACUUUGAAAAGAGAGUUAAACAGUACGUGAAAUUGUCAAAAGGGAAGCGUUUGACACCAGUGUUGUUUUCUCGAAAAUCAAUUAAAAAAGGCCGGAUUUUGUGUUGUAUUGACCUUAAAAGCUUUCUUCACUCUUUUCUUGUCUUUUUUAAUGCACUUUUCGUUUAACAAGUCAACAUCAGUUUCUUUUGUUGUAAAAGGGUCAUUGGAAGGUGGCUUUCUUUUCGGAGAAAGUGUUUAUAGCCUUUGAUCUCUGCAACCGGAGAGACUGAGGUCUGCAGCGUAGACUCUUCGGGGUUAGAUACAUUUGUGCUAAGCUAUAGCUUUUUAUAGACAACUUGUUGACUAUAUUUAGUCUUGUGGCUUACUCGCUUAUGCUAUUUUACCUACGCUUAGGAUGUUGAUCUACAGAGCGAGAGU